UUUCCCUCCCUAAUUAUUCCCAAAGUGCACCGAAUUUAAUGAAAUAUAUAACAAUGAUUAAAAAAAAAUAAAGAAAUACUACUGAUCGACUUUGGGGUAUCAAGUUAACUCGUUGGGUUAACAAAUAAAAGUUUCAAUCGAUCGAUCCAAUCGAACACUUUGCGUCUCCGAUCUUCCAAUCAGUGCUACAAAUUUUCAAAUCAAUGCUCGAAAUGUUCAAAUUAGUGCUCCAGUGCAUUUCAAAAUUAACAAAAACUUCACACGAGGAUCGAUUGUAUCUCAAAUCGAUGCUCCAAUCUACUACUCCAACUAUCGCUCUAACCACCAGUGCUCCAAUCGACCACUGCUCUGACUUUGAGUGCUCCAACUGCUUUUGUUUGACCUCUAGCCGUCUAUAAAAAUAGAUAUUCAUGCUUCUUUCAGCUUCUAUGAUUUGCGGAAAUAGUUUCAAAGUUCCAUAGAAUUUUAGUGCCCUAAUUUCUAGCUUCUAAUAGUAUUUUUGUGCUUAUGGAAAAGACUAAGUUUGAAGCCUAGCUGAUAAUUCCUUUUGUAAUAGUGUUAGGCAUGAGAAUAUCAUAAUUUGAAGGCUGUUAUUAAUUUCGCUCUCUUUUGUUCUUUACAGUUGGUUCUUUGCAACAUUGUUUGAAGAAUAAGUGAAUGAAGUUUCUUCCCUAAUGCUAGUAGCUGAUAUAUGGCAAUAUUUGGAGGUGUGCUUUGUAGGUAAUCCACGUAUAGUGCUAACACUAUAAUAGUUCAGGGAGGAAUAGAUUUAGUAGAGAUACAAUUUUGUAACCUGUAUAAUUAGGUGUUAUGACAUUUACUUACCCGGCCACUAGAAUAAUGAGCAUAACUAUAGAUCCAAUUGCUAUGCUUGCCAAUUCUUGCACCUCUAGAAAGAACUAAUAUUUAGUAUGUAUUUAUUGGAUGUACAGUAUAAAAACAAAAAUUUCCUGACAUCUUCCCUAAUAUAGUGGUUUGCGAAUGUCGAAGGAAGUAAUUCUGCAGCUAUCUGGUCAUAGAAAAGACCGAUCAUAGGUAUUUACUUUCUUUAUAUUACCAAUAGUAUUUAUGAAUGUCUAAAUUGAACUCAAAGGAGGUAAAAGAUCUUUCUGUUUAUGAUUGUGUAAUUAAAUCAUUAUCAAUGAUAAUAUAACUUUUAUCUGUACAAGGUAAACUAUAACCACAAUAAUAUAUAGUCUAGAUUAAUAUUAUUAGUCCAAUGUACUGAAUUGACUCAAUCAAACUCUUUUCCCUUUUCCCCUCAAGACAUGGUUGAUUAGUUAUCUAUUCGUUAGUAAUAGUUUUGGUGAAAUCAUUUCUACUUCUAUAGCAACUGAUGUCUUAUGUUAAGGUGGCUAAUAUUGGACCCAUUUGGAUGAUGAUACUUUUUGAAUCAUGGGUUUCCAAGAUGUUAUUGAGCUUUUCGUCUUAUUUCUACAACAAGUCUGCAAAUCAUUUUGGUUCUUGACCUAGAUUUGAAGACUUGAAGGUGUUUUUUCAAAUCCUUGUACAACCAUAAAGAAUGAGUAAACCACCAACAAUAAUUUUAAGAACUUGUGUGAUCAUAUGUUUGAUAAAUGGUCUUCAAUUGCAUAACUUCCCUUUUAUGAUCUGACACUAGUUAAUAUUUGGUGGUAUGUUUUUCUCAAUCCAUCAGUUUGAUAAUCAGUUCAGCAUGAAAAAAUUAUCUUAUUUGAGAAAGAACAUGAAGGGAAUUAAGAACGUAUGUGAACGUUCAUUUGGUCACCUUCGGGCUAUAGCCUUUCUAGCAGAGUAUUUUAGAAUUCAGGAGGUGUUACUCCUUAAAAUAAAAUAUUAUGCUCUAGUUCUCCAUGUUGUUAUAUGCAUGGAAUCAAACCAUUUUUAAUUCAGGCGACAUCCAAACCAUUCAUAAUAGAAAAGAAAAAGAAUUGAACAUUAUAUUUUUUUGAAUUGACACAAAGUAGAAUAAUUUAUAAUAGAUGUGAAUGAUAUAAGAAAAGAUAGAGCAAAUAGCAAAAAGUGAAGUGGCAGAACUUACUGAUGAUCCUUACUGUAGAUUAACUAAUAUUCUUAACUUUGUAAGUUUUCCUGUAUCAAUAUAUAUUCGUUGAACAAUCACGUAUCAAGAAGGGUGUUCAAGAAAUCACACGAAAGUUAAGAGAUUUGUUUCAGAUGGAUCAAGAUCUUCCAUCUUUUCUUCUUCUUCUCAUCCCUUUUUCUUCUUUUUUUAUUAGCAGCAGUAGAUAAAAAACUGGUUAUUUUUGUUUGGGUGUAGUGGUAGCUAGUAAGGACAAUGUUUUUCUGUACUUGUUUAUUCAAAUAGGGUUGCAUACCAUAUGAUACCCAAUGAGAGUUUCACUGCAAUGUGUCAACCUCUUGUAACAAAGUGGCAAGAGGUGCUUUUUAGUCUCACCGUAAUUUUAUCUUUUGUGCUAGUAAUAGAUUUUCAUUUUCAACUCUUUACCUUUACUAUGUUUAAGAUAUACAUGGCUUGAUCUGGAAUGUGUUUUAUGUGGAGUUAUGUUAAGUACUUUAUGUUUUGGAUGAUAAUUGAUAGAAAAUGUUUAUUACAGAUUGGAAAUGAGUGAUAAUUCAAUUGUUUAGAAAUUCCAAGAUUAUAGUUAGACAUUACCAUUUUAAAAGAUGUGUUAUGUAUAUUCAAUUUAAGAUCAACUUAUAAUUUUCAUCUUUUUGGCUGUUUGUCUAUAAAUUUGAAAUAUGUUUUUGGAAGAUCAUUCUCUUUGCCAAAAUUUGUUGAUGAAGUUCAAAAAGUGAUUCAUCCAGCUCUUGAAGAUUACUUAAAAGUAAAUGUGAGAUGGCUGCCAGAGGAAGAUUCUAGGCCUGAUAUUGGGGACGCUCCAGUGUUCUAUCCAAAUGAAGAGGUCCUAAUUUAAUUGGCUAAUCAACUCCUUUCAGUUCCUCUAUCUUGAAUAGUCCAACCAUUCACUUCUGGUAUUCACAGUUUGAAGGGAGUUUUAUGAGUCUUGCCUGGUCAAGUUUCCUUAAUAACUCUUUUUAAAUCUAAAGGAAUCUGAAGAUACGCGUCAAUAUAUGGCCAGCAUACGCUCCAAAGGAGAGGCUUAAGUAAUUUGUCGCAUAGUAACUCUUGCUUCAUGGAAACCUUCAUGCCCUCUUAAGGAAAAAACUAUAUAAGAGAACUCCAAAUUUGCUACCUAUGUACAGAGAAUCAAAAAAACAUUAGAAUCGAGAUUAGAUAAGAAGGAUGUGGGAAGUUAAUACUCCUAAGAAAAAGAAAAUAAUAAGAUGAUUAAAAAUGAGAGUAGUCCCAGGUAAUGAUAGUGUUGCCAAUAGACCUCAUGGUGAAGGUGCUAUCUUUGAAGCCGAGAGAUUUGAAUUUGAACCUGGUCCAGAUUUUACACUAGAUGCAUUUCUGAAAUAUGUUGAUGAUUUAGAACUUGCCACUUAACUAAUCAAUUGGACUUAAUUAACGUUUUGCUUUUGAGUUUAAAUUACUAGCUUGUUAUGUAUUUUGAAUUAUGAGAUUAUUAAUGAAUGAUUUUUUUGUGAUGUGUA